rnacentral:tRNA from 1 species
AAGACAUAGUUUAGUUAAAAUAUUAGAUUGUAAAUCUAAAGAGUUUUGUUUUUG